CCUGUAGCUCAGGGGAUAGAGCGUCGGUUUCCUAAACCGUAGGUCGGAGGUUCGAAUCCUCCCAG
rnacentral:tRNA from 1 species